rnacentral:rRNA from 1 species
GUGAGCGUGCGGGCGAUACGGGCAGACUUGAGUACUGCAGGGGAGACUGGAAUUCCUGGUGUAGCGGUGGAAUGCGCAGAUAUCAGGAGGAACACCGGUGGCGAAGGCGGGUCUCUGGGCAGUAACUGACGCUGAGGAGCGAAAGCGUGGGGAGCGAACAGGAUUAGAUACCCUGGUAGUCCACGCCGUAAACGGUGGGUACUAGGUGUGGGUUUCCUUCCUUGGGAUCCGUGCCGUAGCUAACGCAUUAAGUACCCCGCCUGGGGAGUACGGCCGCAAGGCUAAAACUCGAAGAAAUUGACGGGGGCCCGCACAAGCGGCGGAGCAUGUGGAUUAAUUCGAUGCAACGCGAAGAACCUUACCUGGGUUUGACAUGCACAGGACGCCGGCAGAGAUGUCGGUUCCCUUGUGGCCUGUGUGCAGGUGGUGCAUGGCUGUCGUCAGCUCGUGUCGUGAGAUGUUGGGUUAAGUCCCGCAACGAGCGCAACCCUUGUCUCAUGUUGCCAGCGGGUAAUGCCGGGGACUCGUGAGAGACUGCCGGGGUCAACUCGGAGGAAGGUGGGGAUGACGUCAAGUCAUCAUGCCCCUUAUGUCCAGGGCUUCACACAUGCUACAAUGGCCGGUACAAAGGGCUGCGAUGCCGCGAGGUUAAGCGAAUCCUUUUAAAGCCGGUCUCAGUUCGGAU